GGGCCCGCACAAGCGGUGGAGCAUGUGGUUCAAUUCGACGCAACGCGAAGAACCUUACCUGGGUUAGACAACGGUGGACCGCCCUAGAAAUAGGGUUUUCCCUUCGGGGACUGCCGGUUCAGGUGCUGCAUGGCUGUCGUCAGCUCGUGCCGUGAGGUGUUGGGUUAAGUCCCGCAACGAGCGCAACCCUUGCCCUUAGUUGCUACCAUUAAGUUGAGCACUCUAGGGGGACUGCCGGCGUUAAGCCGGAGGAAGGCGGGGACGACGUCAAGUCAUCAUGGCCCUUAUAUCCAGGGCUACACACGUGCUACAAUGGGCGGUACAAAGGGUUGCAAACCCGCGAGGGGGAGCCAAUCCCAAAAAGCCGCUCUCAGUUCGGAUUGGAGUCUGCAACUCGACUCCAUGAAGGCGGAAUCGCUAGUAAUCGCGGAUCAGCACGCCGCGGUGAAUACGUUCCCGGGCCUU
rnacentral:rRNA from 1 species